GUUAAACAUAAAGAGCGUAGGGUGGAUGCCUAGGCACUGACAGCCGAAGAAAGACGUGACAAGCUGCGAAAAGCUGCGGGGAGAAGCACAUAUUCAGUGAUCCGCAGAUGUCUGAAUGGGGAAACCCGCUUGGAUAAACUCCAAGCAUCUGUACGCCAAUACAUAACGUACAGAAGGGAACCCGGUGAACUGAAACAUCUAAGUAGCCGGAGGAAAAGAAAACAAAAGUGAUUGCGAAAGUAGCGGCGAGCGAAAUCGUAAAAGCCCAAACCGCGGUGCGUGCACUGCGGGGUAGAGGACUGCAAUACGAGUAAGAUAUAUUACCUGAACCGUUUUGGAAAAGCGGGCCAAAGAGCGUGAGAGCCGUGUAAGGGAAAAUAUAUUGAAUCAAGCAGUAUCCGGAGUACCACGAGACACGAGAAACCUUGUGGGAAGCAGGGGGGACCACCCCCCAAGGCUAAAUACUAGUCAGUGACCGAUAGCGUAUAGUACUGUGAAGGAAAGGUGAAAAGAACCCCGGGAGGGGAGUGAAAAAGAACCUGAAACCCUAUGUUUACAAACUGUGGAACACCGAAAGGUGAACCGCGUACUUUUUGUAGAACGGUCCGGCGAGUUACAUGUACAGGCGAGGUUAAGUAUUAAAGAUACGGAGCCGAAGGGAAACCAAGUCUUAACAGGGCGAUGAAGUCAGUAUGUGUAGACCCGAAACCGGGUGAUCUAUCCAUGUCCAGGUUGAAGUUCGCGUAAAAGUGAAUGGAGGACCGAACGCACAUCCGUUGAAAAGGGUGGCGAUGAGGUGUGGAUAGGGGAGAAAUUCCAAUCGAACCCGGAGAUAGCUGGUUCUCCUCGAAAUAGUUUUAGGACUAGCCUCGUUAUUAGUCUACCGGAGGUAGAGCACUGAAUUUUUGCGGGGGCGUCAAAGCCUACCAAGAGAUAUCAAACUCCGAAUGCCGGCUAGAUGAUUAACGGGAGUCAGACUGCACGAGAUAAGUUGGGUAGUCAAAAGGGAAAGAGCCCGGACCCGCGGCUAAGGUCCCAAAGUGUGUGUUAAGUGGAAAAGGAUGUGGGAUUUCAAAGACAGCUAGGAUGUUGGCUUAGAAGCAGCCAUACAUUAAAAGAGUGCGUAACAGCUCACUAGUCGAGAGGUCCUGCGCCGAAAAUGUCCGGGGCUAAACACAACACCGAAGCCCGGGAAUGUAUUAUAUACAUUGGUAGAGGAGCAUUCUUAUAAGCGUAGAAGCCAUACCGAAAGGAGUGGUGGAGUAAUAAGAAGAGAGAAUGCCGGAAUGAGUAGCGAGAAAGAGGUGAGAAUCCUCUUGGCCGAAUAUCUAAGGUUUCCUGAGUAAAGCUGAUCUGCUCAGGGUAAGUCGGGGCCUAAGGCAAGGGAGAAAUCCGUAGUCGAUGGAUAACAGGUACAGAUUCCUGUACUACAUAUAAUCAGAACUGUGGGGACACGGAGACCAAAAACCGAACCCGGGAGGACAAAAACCGGGGCAAGCGAAGUACCUGUAUGGGAGGCAAAUCCACCAUACAAAGGGAAGACGUGAUGCGUACCGAAAAAUAGUAGGGAAGUCGGUUAGGGAGCCGUCAAGAAAAGCCGCUAUUGUAUUAUAUGUACCCGUACCGCAAACCGACACAGGUAGAUGAGGAGAGAAUCCUAAGGCCGGCGGGAGAAGCAUUGUUAAGGAACUCGGCAAAAUGACCCCGUAACUUCGGGAGAAGGGGUGCCACUUUAAUAGAGUGGUCGCAGAAAAAAGGCUCAAGCAACUGUUUAGCAAAAACACAGGUCUAUGCGAAACCGUAAGGUGAAGUAUAUGGGCUGACGCCUGCCCGGUGCCGGAAGGUUAAGAGGAGAAGUCAGGAAACGAAGCUUUGAACCUAAGCCCCGGUAAACGGCGGCCGUAACUAUAACGGUCCUAAGGUAGCGAAAUUCCUUGUCGGGU
rnacentral:rRNA from 1 species